GUCGCCGGGACCCAAAAUGGUCCCCAUCCAAAAGGUGAUAUAGCAAUGGAUUUUAUGAAUUUUUUUUCAUUUUUUUUCACAUCAGAUCUUUUAAACAACUUCAGACCUAUCCACUGAUAUAAAGUUUUUCAUAAUUUUUUUUUCAUUUUUUAUGUUUUUAUGGCUUUAUUGUCAUAAAAACCCCUGUUUUUUUGGGGGUAAAAAACCAUAAUAUGCAAUAUUUUUAAAAAAUGAGUUGCAAAUGGAACUACUUGGCAUGAGGUUAUUAGAGCCUUGGAUAGGUAAAGAAUUCAUAACAGAAUUGAUUUGGCUGCAUUAUUAUUUUUGGAGCAAUAAGAGUUUUUACAGUAUACAUCCAUUGGUAUCCCUUGGGACCCAAAGGGGUCCCCAUCCAAAAGGUGAUAUAGCAAUGAAUUUUAUGAAUUGUUUUUUCAUUUUUUUUCACAUCAGAUCUUUUAAACAACUUCAGACCUAUCCACAGAUAUAAAGUUUUUCAUAAAUUUGUAAAUAUUUUUUAUGUUUUUAUAGCUUUAUUGUCAUAAAGACCCCUGUUUAUUUUUUAUUUAUUUAUUUUGGGGGUGGGGGGUGGGGGGGGAAACCCGUAAUAUAUAUUAUAAAUAUAUUCUCAAUCACAUUCACACCACUCUCUUAUAUCAGUUCCACUACAUCGAGACUAUUUUAUGGUGGUCAGCUGUUUUAUUGUCAUGUAUUUUGCAUAAUAAGAUAACCAUGUCCUGCAUUCAAAACCACUGAAAAUGUCUAUGGUGGUGCUGUACCUAAUAUUGUGCUCAUUGGAUCCGAAACAUAUUUUUCCUUUAUUUUGAAGCCUGAGGCUUAGAUCCAUUAGGUAUUCACGAGAAAAAAAUUAUCACAUGUCAGGAUUACAGUAUAUCGAAAAUAUGUGAUUAUAAUGGGAGUCAAUGGGACCCAAAAUGGUACGAGGACCACAGACGGUAACACUUAUGUGAAUCUCCUUUACUAUACACAACACCAUAGAGGGGAUCAAUGAAUUUUAAAAAUAAUGCUAAAAUGCAACUCCUAGCCAAGUUUCAUGCAACUAGUCUUUAAAAUGACUGAUAUAUUGAGAAUCAAAAAUCCAAGGGGACCCAAAAGGGUCCCUAUUUUGACGAUGACCAUCAGAGGGUUAA
ensembl:lncRNA